GCCAGGGUAGCGGUCAGGGCAGUGGCCAGGGUAGCGGCCAGGGCCAGGGAAGUGGUCAGGGAAGUGGCCAGGGAAGCGGCCAGGGAAGCGGUCAGGGAAGUGGUCAGGGCCAGGGCAGCGGUCAGGGAAGCGGCCAGGGUCAGGGUAGCGGCCAUGGAAGUGGUCAAGGGAAUGGUGAGGGAUGUGGUCAUUGACAUGGUCAUGGGAAUUUUGCAUAACAUUUACUGGAGAUCUUUUCAAAUCGGUGCCUUAUUCAUAUGGCACGUUUUCCCUGUUUGCUCAAAACAGUUUAGAAAGAUUUUCUGUCUCUCUCCUCCCCCUCAAAUAAAAAGAAUUGCUUGAA